AUUGAACGCUAGCGGGAUGUUUUACACAUGCAAGUCGAACGGCAGCGCGGACUUCGGUCUGGCGGCGAGUGGCGAACGGGUGAGUAAUGUAUCGGAACGUGCCCAGUAGCGGGGGAUAACUACGCGAAAGCGUGGCUAAUACCGCAUACGCCCUACGGGGAAAGGGGGGGAGUCUUCGGACCUCUCACUAUUGGAGCGGCCGAUAUCGGAUUAGCUAGUUGGUGGGGUAAAGGCCUACCAAGGCGACGA
rnacentral:rRNA from 1 species